rfam:Zea mays cultivar B73 chromosome 2, whole genome shotgun sequence.
GGCCUAUUAGCUCAGUUGGUUAGAGCGUCGUGCUAAUAACACGAAGGUCGCAGGUUAGAGACCUGCAUGGGCCA